rnacentral:rRNA from 1 species
GACGAACGCUGGCGGCGUGCUUAACACAUGCAAGUCGAACGGAAAGGCCCUGCUUUUGUGGGGUGCUUGAGUGGCGAACGGGUGAGUAACACGUGAGUAACCUGCCCUUGACUUUGGGAUAACUUCAGGAAACUGGGGCUAAUACCGGAUAGGAGCUCCUGCUGCAUGGUGGGGGUUGGAAAGUUUCGGCGGUUGGGGAUGGACUCGCGGCUUAUCAGCUUGUUGGUGGGGUAGUGGCUUACCAAGGCUUUGACGGGUAGCCGGCCUGAGAGGGUGACCGGCCACAUUGGGACUGAGAUACGGCCCAGACUCCUACGGGAGGCAGCAGGGGGGAAUAUUGCACAAUGGGCGGAAGCCUGAUGCAGCAACGCCGCGUGCGGGAUGACGGCCUUCGGGUUGUAAACCGCUUUCGCCUGUGACGAAGCGUGAGUGACGGUAAUGUGUAAAGAAGCACCGGCUAACUACGUG